CCCGCGGCGAACGAACACAUUG
rnacentral:rRNA from 1 species